rnacentral:ncRNA from 1 species
CAGAAUCAGCAGGGAAGGAAGAACCUGUUAAGCUUGACUCUAGCUUCACGACUUUGUGAAGAGACAUGACGGCGGGUGUAAUAAUAAAUGGGAGCGCUGGCUUCAGUCAUUGCCGUCGACAAUAAAGGAGCAAGCCCAUCAUUGUUUCUUCACUUAUUCAGUGAAGCGGGGUUGACACAAUAUACAUAUGACGACUAUAUUGGCAGUGGAGCACAUGCCAGUGUUGAUGUUGUUGGGUUCGCGCAUUUUGCAUCGACGGCGUUGGUGUCCGUAAUUGCGUCCGAUUAGCUCCAGUCGGUUGUUUGUCACUGCUUCUUACAUGCGGUGGUAGUGGGUGGCUCUGCGACACUAUUAGCCACGAUUGCGGCGUGCGAUCUGGUGGUCCGAAGACAUUGUCAUAAGGGGAGUUUGACUGGGGUGGUACAUCUGUCAAAUCGUAACGCAGGAGUCCCAUCCCAAAGUGAGCUCAGCCAGGACAGAAACCUCCUUGUGAAGAGUAAAAGGACGAAAGCUCACUUGAUUUUGAUUCUCGUUCAGUACGAAUACAGACCGUGAAAGCGUGGCCUAUCGAUCCUUUUGAUGAUGAUCUGAUAUUGAGAGUAUGAAACAAGAGGUGUCAGAAAAGUUACUAUCACAGGAAUAACUGGCUUGUGGCGGCCAAGUGUUCAUAGCGACGUCGCUUUUUGAUCCAUUGGUGUCGGCUCUUCUUCCUAUCAUUGUGAAGCAGAAUACACCUAGAGUUGGAUUGUUCAUCCACUAAUAGGGAACGUGAGCUGGGUUUAGACCAUCGUGAGACAGGUUAGUUUUACUCUACUCAUGUGCGCACUACUGUGUUAUAAGUGAGGUGCAAGCUGGUCGUUGCUAUGGUAAUCCUAUUUACUACGAGAAGAACAGGAGGUUCAGACAUUUGGCAUAUGUGCCUGGUCGAUCGGCCAAUGGUGCGGAGAUACCAUCUGGGGGAUUAAGAUUGAACCCCUCUAAGUCUGAAUCCCAUCUAAACGUGAUGAUGUAACGAUUCAAUACAACGGCCUGCCACAUGGAUAGGCAACUAUAGCCUUUCCACCCACGAGGGUUGGGACGGGGCUCUUAGUUGGUCUGGUAACAGCAGUGUUAAGCCAGAGCGUUGACCAUAGCCAUAUGCAUCAGAUUGUAAUGAUGCUGCUGCUGCUGAAUGGGAGUUGAUACAAGAUCCUAUUGUGGAAUGAGGGUGGAGGCACAAAAUCCUUUGUAGAUGACUUAGUAUUUUGUCGGGGAGACGUGAGUAUUCGAUCAGCUAUUGCACUGCGAGGUAUUGAGUCCUAUCCCUACUAGACGUAAUGGUUU